rnacentral:rRNA from 1 species
AUGAACGCUGGCGGCGUGCCUAAUACAUGCAAGUCGAGCGAACGGACGAGAAGCUUGCUUCUCUGAUGUUAGCGGCGGACGGGUGAGUAACACGUGGAUAACCUACCUAUAAGACUGGGAUAACUUCGGGAAACCGGAGCUAAUACCGGAUAAUAUUUUGAACCGCAUGGUUCAAAAGUGAAAGACGGUCUUGCUGUCACUUAUAGAUGGGUCCGCGCUGCAUUAGCUAGUUGGUAAGGUAACGGCUUACCAAGGCAACGAUGCAUAGCCGACCUGAGAGGGUGAUCGGCCACACUGGAACUGAGACACGGUCCAGACUCCUACGGGAGGCAGCAGUAGGGAAUCUUCCGCAAAGGGCGAAAGCCUGACGGAGCAACGCCGCGUGAGUGAUGAAGGUCUUCGGAUCGUAAAACUCUGUUAUUAGGGAAGAACAUAUGUGUAAGUAACUGUGCACAUCUUGACGGUACCUAAUCAGAAAGCCACGGCUAACUACGUG